rnacentral:rRNA from 1 species
ACGGAAGGCAGCAGUGAGGAAUAUUGGUCAAUGGGCGGGAGCCUGAACCAGCCAAGUCGCGUGAGGGAUGACGGUCCUACGGAUUGUAAACCUCUUUUGCCGGGGAGUAAUGUGCGGGACGCGUCCCGUAUUGAGAGUACCCGGAGAAAAAGCAUCGGCUAACUCCGUGCCAGCAGCCGCGGUAAUACGGAGGAUGCGAGCGUUAUCCGGAUUUAUUGGGUUUAAAGGGUGCGUAGGCGGCGUGCCAAGUCAGCGGUCAAAGUUCCGGGCUCAACCCGGUGAUGCCGUUGAAACUGGUGUGCUCGAGUUCGUGCGAGGAAGGCGGAAUGCGUUGUGUAGCGGUGAAAUGCAUAGAUAUAACGCAGAACCCCGAUUGCGAAGGCAGCUUUCCAGUAUACGUCUGACGCUGAUGCACGAAAGCGUGGGUAUCAAACAGGAUUAGAUACCCUGGUA